AGGGUUUGAUCCUGGCUCAGAAUGAACGCUGGCGGCGUGGCUAAGACAUGCAAGUCGAACGAACCAUUUAUGGUUAGUGGCGAAAGGGUUAGUAAUGGUUAGGUAACGUACCCCAUGCUUCAGGAUAGCGUCAGUUACUUCGGUAACUUUCCGAAAGGGGCGGUAAUACUGAAUAAUAUCAUAAGUUGAUAGACUUAUGAUCAAAGAUUUAUCGACGUGGGAGCGGCCUAAUUCCUAUCAGCUUGUUGGUGAGGUAAUGGCUCACCAAGGCUAUGACGGGUAGCGGGACUGAGAGGUUGGCCCGCAACAUCGGGACUGAGACACUGCCCGGACCUCCACGGAGGGCUGCAGUAACGAAUAUUGGGCAAUGGGCGAAAGCCUGACCCAGCGACGCCGCGUGUAGGAGGAAGUCCUUCGGGAUGUAAACUACUUUUCGGAGUAAGAAAGUCUUCGGAUUGAUCUAAUCCGGAAUAAGUCGCGGCUAACUUCGUGCCAGCAGCCGCGGUAAUACGAAGGUGGCAAGCGUUAUUCGGUAUCACUGGGCUUAAAGCGUGUGUAGGUGGAAAAGUAAGUGUUUUGUGAAAGCCCUCGGCUCAACCGAGGAAUUGCUUAGCAUACUGCUUUUCUUGAGGCAAGUAGGGGUACGUGGAACUCUUGGUGGAGCGGUGGAAUGCGUAGAUAUCAAGAGGAACGCCGAUGGUGAAGACAAUGUACUGGACUUGUCCUGACACUCAGACACGAAAGCGUGGGGAGCAAACAGGAUUAGAUACCCUGGUAGUCCACGCUGUAAACGAUGCCUACUAGGUCGUGGGAGUUCUGACGCUUUCACGGCCGAAGCAAAAGUGUUAAGUAGGCCGCCUGGGGAGUACGGUCGCAAGGCUAAAACUCAAAGGAAUUGACGGGGGCUCACACAAGCGGUGGAGCAUGUGGAUUAAUUCGAAUCAACGCGCAGAACCUUACCUGGGUUUGACAUGCUUGGAUGCCCUUCUGGAAACAGAAGUAAGCUGCCCUUCGGGGUGAAACUUGCACAGGUGCUGCAUGGCUGUCGUCAGCUCGUGUCGUGAGAUGUCGGGUUAAGUCCUUUAACGAGCGAAACCCUUACCGUUAGUUGCCAGCGCGUCAUGGCGGGGACUCUAACGGGACUGCCGGUGUUAAACCGGAGGAAGGUGGGGAUGACGUCAAGUCCUCAUGGCCUUUAUGCCCAGGGCUUCACACGUGCUACAAUGGUCGAUACAGAGCGACGCAAGACCGCGAGGUGGAGCAAAUCGCGAAAAGUCGGCCCCAGUUCGGAUUGCAGGCUGGCAACUCGCCUGCAUGAAGGUGGAAUCGCUAGUAAUCGCGUGUCAGCUAUAACGCGGUGAAUGUGUUCCUGAGCCUUGUACACACCGCCCGUCAAGUGAUGGGAGUUGGGAGUACCCGAAGUCGGAUUGCUAACCCAGUUUACUGGGAGGCGUCUGCCGACGGUAAGCCCGAUGACUGGCACUAAGUCGAAACAAGGUA
rnacentral:rRNA from 1 species